UUUAAUCAAUCAUGCCUGUGUAGUGAAGCCUCCAUAAAAACCUAAAAAGGACAGGGUUUGGAAAGCUUCCUGUAAGCGAACCCGUGAAGGUUCCGGGAGGGUGGCGCACCCGGAAAGGGCAUGGAAGCUCCACGCCCCUUCCCACAUACCUUCCUCUAUCCAUCUCUUCAUCUGGUGUUCAUCGAUAGCCUUUGUAAUGUCCUUAAUAGUAAACUGGAAAACCCUUGAGAUACUCCAAGCAGACUUACCUCUGUGUUGUACACCCCAUAUAUCAGGAAGAUGAAGAGACCCUGUGAAAUAAAAUGGAGGGGAAAAGCUGUUAACGCUAAUCAUUUCAGCAGAAGAAAUACCUGAAAUAAACUUUCCUGGGAACAGACAAAAGAAGACACACUUCAUCAAGAUGUAUACCUAACAGCAUGAUAAGGAAGCCCCAGAAGGAUGUUUCUAAAGACCAUGAGGGAGUCUGAAACCUGAAAUCAUGCCAAGGACUCUCUGCUUCUCUUUCGCUUGGGGUGUCUACCUGAUGCUGCCACAACCAGUUGAAGCAUAUAACAUUAACAAUAAAAAUUAGUUUUUUUGUAACUAA